GAUGAACGCUGGCGGCGUGCCUAAUACAUGCAAGUCGAGCGAACGGACGAGAAGCUUGCUUCUCUGAUGUUAGCGGCGGACGGGUGAGUAACACGUGGAUAACCUACCUAUAAGACUGGGAUAACUUCGGGAAACCGGAGCUAAUACCGGAUAAUAUUUUGAACCGCAUGGUUCAAAAGUGAAAGACGGUCUUGCUGUCACUUAUAGAUGGAUCCGCGCUGCAUUAGCUAGUUGGUAAGGUAACGGCUUACCAAGGCAACGAUGCAUAGCCGACCUGAGAGGGUGAUCGGCCACACUGGAACUGAGACACGGUCCAGACUCCUACGGGAGGCAGCAGUAGGGAAUCUUCCGCAAUGGGCGAAAGCCUGACGGAGCAACGCCGCGUGAGUGAUGAAGGUCUUCGGAUCGUAAAACUCUGUUAUUAGGGAAGAACAUAUGUGUAAGUAACUGUGUGCAUCUUGACGGUACCUAAUCAGAAAGCCACGGCUAACUACGUG
rnacentral:rRNA from 1 species